GACAGAGGAUGCAAGCGUUAUCCGGAAUGAUUGGGCGUAAAGCGUCUGUAGGUGGCUUUUCAAGUCCGCCGUCAAAUCCCAGGGCUCAACCCCGGGAGGCGGGUGGAUACUGCUGAGCUCGAGUCCGGAAGAGGAGUGUGGAAUUCCUGGUGUAGCGGUGAAAUGCGCAGAUAUCAGGAGGAACACCAAUGGCGAAGGCAGCACUCUGGGACGGUACUGACGCUGAGACGCGAAAGCGUGGGGAGCAAACAGG
rnacentral:rRNA from 1 species